rnacentral:rRNA from 1 species
CGUGUAGGCGGUCGGGUAAGUCAGAUGUGAAAGCCUUCUGCUUAACAGAAGAAGUGCAUUUGAAACUGCUCGGCUGGAGUACGGGAGAGGAGAGUGGAAUUCCCGGUGUAGAGGUGAAAUUCGUAGAUAUCGGGAGGAACACCAGUGGCGAAGGCGGCUCUCUGGUCCGAUACUGACGCUGAGACGCGAAAGCGUGGGAGCAAACAGGAUUAGAUACCCUGGUAGUCCACGCCGUAAACGAUGGGCACUAGGUGUAGGAGGUAUUGACCCCUUCUGUGCCGAAGUUAACGCAUUAAGUGCCCCGCCUGGGGAGUACGGCCGCAAGGCUAAA